UACGUAGGUGGCAAGCGUUGUCCGGAAUUAUUGGGCGUAAAGCGCGCGCAGGCGGCCUCUUAAGUCUGAUGUGAAAGCCCCCGGCUCAACCGGGGAGGGCCAUUGGAAACUGGGAGGCUUGAGUAUAGGAGAGAAGAGUGGAAUUCCACGUGUAGCGGUGAAAUGCGUAGAGAUGUGGAGGAACACCAGUGGCGAAGGCGACUCUUUGGCCUAUAACUGACGCUGAGGCGCGAAAGGCGUGGGGAGCAAACAGGG
rnacentral:rRNA from 1 species